GUAUGGAGCAAGCGUUAUCCGGAUUUACUGGGUGUAAAGGGAGCGCAGACGGCAAGGCAAGUCUGAUGUGAAAGACCGAGGCUCAACUUCGGGAUUGCAUUGGAAACUGUCUGGCUAGAGUGCAGGAGAGGUAAGUGGAAUUCCUAGUGUAGCGGUGAAAUGCGUAGAUAUUAGGAGGAACACCAGUGGCGAAGGCGGCUUAUUGGACUGUAACUGACGUUGAGGCUCGAAAGCGUGGGGAGCAA
rnacentral:rRNA from 1 species